rnacentral:rRNA from 1 species
AAUGAACGUUGGCGGCGUGGAUUAGGCAUGCAAGUCGCGCGGAAAGGCCCCGCAAGGGGCACUCGAUCGGCGUAAGGGAUAGUAACGCGUGGAUUACCUACCCUCGGGGCUGGGAUAGCUGCGGGAAACUGCAAUUAAUACCAGAUGACGUCCCCGGACCAAAGGUGUAAUUCCCUCCGAGGAUGGGUCCGCGUCCUAUUAGCUAGUUGGUAGGGUAACGGCCUACCAAGGCAACGAUGGGUAGCGGGUGUGAGAGCACGACCCGCAUCACUGGGACUGAGACACUGCCCAGACACCUACGGGUGGCUG